ACGUAGGGAGCAAGCGUUGUUCGGAUUUACUGGGCGUAAAGGGCGCGUAGGCGGCAUAUUAAGUCAGCUGUGAAAUCUCCGAGCUUAACUCGGAACUGUCAGCUGAUACUGCGGGGCUAGAGUGCGGAAGGGGCAACUGGAAUUCUUGGUGUAGCGGUGAAAUGCGUAGAUAUCAAGAGGAACACCUGCGGCGGAGGCGGGUUGCUGGGCCGACACUGACGCUGAGGCGCGAAAGCUAGGGGAGCGAACGGGA
rnacentral:rRNA from 1 species